rnacentral:rRNA from 1 species
CCUACGGGUGGCAGCAGUGGGGGAUAUUGCACAAUGGGGGAAACCCUGAUGCAGCGACGCCGCGUGUAGGAAGACGGUCCUCUGGAUUGUAAACUACUGUCCCCAGGGACGAAGAUGACGGUACCUGGGGAGGAAGCUCCGGCAAACUACGUGCCAGCAGCCGCGGUAAUACGUAGGGAGCGAGGGUUGUCCGGAAUUACUGGGUGUAAGGGGAGCGUAGGCGGGUAUGCAAGUUGGGGGUUAAAUCUACCGGCUCAACUGGGAGUCGCACUCAAAACUGCAGCUCUUGAGUGGAGUAGAGGCAGGCGGAAUUCCUAGUGUAGCGGUGAAAUGCGUAGAUAUUAGGAGGAACACCAGUGGCGAAGGCGGCCUGCUGGGCUUUUACUGACGCUGAGGCUCGAAAGUGUGGGGAGCAAACAGGAUUAGAUACCCGUGUAGUC